rnacentral:rRNA from 1 species
AGGUGCGAUCAUACCAGCACUAAUGCACCGGAUCCCAUCAGAACUCCACAGUUAAGCGCGCCUAGGGGAGAGUAGUACUAGGAUGGGUGACUUCCUGGGAAGUCCUCGUGUUGCACUUC